GGCUUACACAUGCAGUCGAGCGGGGAAGGGUAGCUUGCUACCUAACCUAGCGGCGGACGGGUGAGUAAUGCUUAGGAAUCUGCCUAUUAGUGGGGGACAACAUUUCGAAAGGAAUGCUAAUACCGCAUACGCCCUACGGGGGAAAGCAGGGGAUCUUCGGACCUUGCGCUAAUAGAUGAGCCUAAGUCGGAUUAGCUAGUUGGUGGGGUAAAGGCCUACCAAGGCGACGAUCUGUAGCGGGUCUGAGAGGAUGAUCCGCCACACUGGGACUGAGACACGGCCCAGACUCCUACGGGAGGCAGCAGUGGGGAAUAUUGGACAAUGGGGGGAACCCUGAUCCAGCCAUGCCGCGUGUGUGAAGAAGGCCUUUUGGUUGUAAAGCACUUUAAGCGAGGAGGAGGAGCUCUAGACUAAUACUCUAGAUGCUUGGACGUUACUCGCAGAAUAAGCACUGGCUAACUCUGUGCCAGCAGCCGCGGUAAUACAGAGGGUGCAAGCGUUAAUCGGAUUUACUGGGCGUAAAGCGUGCGUAGGUGGCCAAUUAAGUCAAAUGUGAAAUCCCCGAGCUUAACUAGGGAAUUGCAUUCGAUACUGGUUGGCUAGAGUAUGGGAGAGGAUGGUAGAAUUCCAGGUGUAGCGGUGAAAUGCGUAGAGAUCUGGAGGAAUACCGAUGGCGAAGGCAGCCAUCUGGCCUAAUACUGACACUGAGGUACGAAAGCAUGGGGAGCAAACAGGAUUAGAUACCCUGGUAGUCCAUGCCGUAAACGAUGUCUACUAGCCGUUGGGGCCUUUGAGGCUUUAGUGGCGCAGCUAACGCGAUAAGUAGACCGUCUGGGGAGUACGGUCGCAAGACUAAAACUCAAAUGAAUUGACGGGGGCCCGCACAAGCGGUGGAGCAUGUGGUUUAAUUCGAUGCAACGCGAAGAACCUUACCUGG
rnacentral:rRNA from 1 species